UGGCCUAAGGCCAGGUCGAAAGACGUAACCGAUGGACAACAGGUUGAAAUUCCUGUACCUUAAGUAAACAGAACUGUGGGGACACGUGUGGAGAGCACAAGCCGGAAAUGGAAAAGCCGGUGCAAGCGAGGUAGGAGUACAGUAGGCAAAUCCGCUGUACAAUCCGAAGACGUGAUGCGGACCGAAUUAAGAGUAGGGAAGUGUGUGAGCCAUGCGUCAAGAAAAGCCGCUAUUGUUUUACUUAAGCCCGUACCGUAAACCGACACAGGUGGAUGAGGAGAGAAUCCUAAGGCCGACGGGAGAAGCAUUGUUAAGGAACUCGGCAAAAUGACUCCGUAACUUCGGGAGAAGGAGUGCCAGCGAGAGCUGGCCGCAGAGAAUUGGCCCAAGCAACUGUUUAGCAAAAACACAGGUCUAUGCAAAACCGUAAGGUGAAGUAUAUGGGCUGACGCCUGCCCGGUGCUGGAAGGUUAAGAGGAGAGGUUAGCGGCAACGCGAAGCUUUGAAUUUAAGCCCCAGUAAACGGCGGCCGUAACUAUAACGGUCCUAAGGUAGCGAAAUUCCUUGUCGGGUAAGUUCCGACCCGCACGAAAGGCGUAAUGAUUUGGGCACUGUCUCAACAAUGCACCCGGUGAAAUUGAAAUACCAGUGAAGAUGCUGGUUACCUGCGCCAGGACGGAAAGACCCCAUGGAGCUUUACUCCAGCUUGAUACUGGGAUUCGGUAUUGCAUGUACAGGAUAGGUGGGAGGCUAGGAAGUGAUAACGCCAGUUGUCACGGAGCCGCUGUUGGGAUACCACCCUUGCAGUAUUGGAUUUCUAACCAGCGACCAUGAACUGGUCGGGGGACAAUGUCAGGUGGGGAGUUUGACUGGGGCGGUCGCCUCCGAAAGGGUAUCGGAGGCGCUCAAAGGUUCCCUCAGAAUGGACGGAAACCAUUCGAAGAGUGCAAAGGCAGAAGGGAGCUUGACUGCGACACCGACGGGUGGAGCAGGUACGAAAGUAGGACUUAGUGAUCCGGUGGUAUAAAGUGGGAUUGCCAUCGCUCAACGGAUAAAAGCUACCCUGGGAUAACAGGCUUAUCACUCCCAAGAGUUCACAUCGACGGAGUGGUUUGGCACCUCGAUGUCGGCUCAACGCAUCCUGGGGCUGAAGUAGGUCCCAAGGGUUGGGCUGUUCGCCCAUUAAAGCGGUACGCGAGCUGGGUUCAGAACGUCGUGAGACAGUUCGGUCCCUAUCCGGCGUGGGCGUAGGAUAUUUGAGAGGAGCUGUCCUUAGUACGAGAGGACCGGGAUGGACUGGCCGCUGGUGUAUCUGUUGCAUACCAAAUGCAUGGCAGAGUAGCCAAGCCGGGACGGGAUAAACGCUGAAGGCAUCUAAGCGUGAAGCCCCCCUCAAGAUGAGAUAUCCCUACGUAAGUAGUAAGACCCCUUGAAGACGACGAGGUAGAUAGGUCAGAGGUGGAAGUACAGUAAUGUAUGGAGCUGACUGAUACUGAUCGGUCGAGGGCAUGACCAA
rnacentral:rRNA from 1 species